AACCUCUUCCUGAUGUCUAGCCUAAACUUCCCCUGCCUCAGCUUCACACCGUUCCCGUGGGUCCUGUCACUGGUGAUAACGGAGAAUAGGUCACCUGCCUCUCACUCCCCCUCGCGAGGAAGUUGUAGACUGCAAUGAGGUCCCCCCCUCAGCCUCCUCUUCUCCAGGCUGACAGGCCCAGUGAUCUCAGUCACUCCUCAUAUGUCUUCCCCUCUAGGCCCUUCCCCAUCUUCGUCUCCCUCCUCUGGGACACUCUCCAAGAGUUUAAUGUCCUUUUUUUAUGCACUUUCUGUAC